GGCCUGAUAACUUAACUGGUAGAGCACUGCACUGGAAUUGCAGAGGUUGGGGUUUGAAUACCCGUUCAGGCCU
rnacentral:tRNA from 1 species